rnacentral:rRNA from 1 species
CCUACGGGCGGCAGCAGUGGGGAAUAUUGGACAAUGGGCGAAAGCCUGAUCCAGCCAUGCCGCGUGUGUGAAGAAGGCCUUCGGGUUGUAAAGCACUUUCAGUGGGGAAGAAAGCCUUGGGGCUAAUACCCUCGAGGAAGGACAUCACCCACAGAAGAAGCACCGGCUAACUCCGUGCCAGCAGCCGCGGUAAUACGGAGGGUGUGAGCGUUAAUCGGAAUUACUGGGCGUAAAGCGCGCGUAGGCGGUCUGAUAAGCCGGUUGUGAAAGCCCCGGGCUCAACCUGGGAACGGCAUCCGGAACUGUCAGGCUAGAGUGCAGGAGAGGAAGGUAGAAUUCCCGGUGUAGCGGUGAAAUGCGUAGAGAUCGGGAGGAAUACCAGUGGCGAAGGCGGCCUUCUGGACUGACACUGACGCUGAGGUGCGAAAGCGUGGGUAGCAAACAGGAUUAGAUACCCCGGUAGUC